ACUCAAUCUGCAACAACACUGCUGGGAGUUACAAUUGCUCGUGUAUAAGUGGAUAUAAUGUAACAGACCUGGACCUCCCUAUAAACAUCAGUAACCCAUGCACAGAUGUGAAUGAAUGUGAUGAGAUACCUGAGGUCUGUGGUCCAAACUCAAUCUGCAACAACACUGAUGGGAGUUACAAUUGCUCGUGUAUGAGUGGAUAUAAUGUAACAGACCUGAACCUCAAUAUAAACAUCAGUAACCCAUGCAGAGAUGUGAAUGAAUGUGUUGAGAUUCCUGAGGUCUGUGGUCCAAACUCAAUCUGCAACAACACUGCUGGGAGUUACAAUUGUUCGUGUAUGAGUGGAUAUAAUGUAACAGACCUGAACCUCCCUAUAAACA